UACAGGGGGUGCAAACGUUGCUCGGAAUCAUUGGGCGUAAAGCGCACGUAGGCGGUUCGUUAUGUCGGAUGUGAAAGCCCUUGGCUUAACCGAGGAAGUGCAUCCGAAACUGGCGAGCUAGAGUACUAAAGAGGAUCGCGGAAUUCCCGGUGUAGAGGUGAAAUUCGUAGAUAUCGGAAGGAACACCUGUGGCGAAAGCGGCUCACUGGACCAUUACUGACGCUGAGGCACGAAAGCUAGGGGAGCAAACAGGG
rnacentral:rRNA from 1 species